AGGGAGUAUAUAAAUAUGUACCCUGACAAGUUAAGAUAGGCAGUCACGUUUAACCUAUUGGUGCAUAUUAUUUCAUUCACAAAUUUAUUUUUCAAUAGAACAUAAACUUGAGGAAAAUAAAACACAGAUUAUUAGAUCAGAGGGUCGAUCAUUUACUAGGGGAAGCGUGGAAGCAGGAACGCAUCACAUGUUUACAACGAUUUGGCGGUAGCAUUACUGCAUCCUCAUCCUAAAGCCGCG
rnacentral:lncRNA from 1 species